AUUGAACGCUGGCGGCAUGCUUUACACAUGCAAGUCGAACGGCAGCACGGGUGCUUGCACCUGGUGGCGAGUGGCGGACGGGUGAGUAAUGCAUCGGAACGUGUCCUGAAGUGGGGGAUAACGCAUCGAAAGAUGUGCUAAUACCGCAUAUUCUCUGAGGAGGAAAGUAGGGGAUCGAAAGACCUUAUGCUUUUGGAGCGGCCGAUGUCUGAUCAGCUAGUUGGUAGGGUAAUGGCUUACCAAGGCGACGAUCAGUAGUUGGUCUGAGAGGACGACCAGCCACACUGGGACUGAGACACGGCCCAGACUCCUACCGGGAGGCAGCAGUGGGGAAUUUUGGACAAUGGGCGCAAGCCUGAUCCAGCAAUGCCGCGUGAGUGAAG
rnacentral:rRNA from 1 species